GGGAGAGUGGCCGAGUGGUUAAAAGCGACAGACUGUAAAUCUGUUGAAGGUUUUCUACGUAGGUUCGAAUCCCGCCUCUCCCA
rnacentral:tRNA from 1 species